ACGUUUGAAAUAUUGUGUAUUGCUUAAAAGACUAUAUAAAUUGUUUAUGGUACAAUACAAAAUACAAAAAAAUUGCUAAUACGUCCCGUGGCCCAUGGUGGGUAUUACGAUCUAGCAUUAAAAGAUUUCUAGAAUUCAUUUGAUCAAUGUCUUCUUCUUCAUCAUCUUUGACCGCAAACACACUUACAAAUUUAUUGGUUUCGCUUCACAUGAGGAGAGUGGAGUUGGAUUUAACAGCAUUGAGAAGUAGUUAUUUAUAAAUUACAAACAAAAACUGCUAGACAUACUACAUACAGAUUCGUAGAUAGGAGGUACGACAUUCAUAUAUAAAUAUAUAUAUCUAUAUAUAGGUAAAGGUUAAACUGCUGCAGAAUUUAUGCAACACUUCUACUUUCUUUCUUAAACAUAUCACAAAAGAGUUUUGAUGAAGGUAAGAACUGGAACAGCAGUAAGUGGUUGACAGAGUUUAAGAAAAGAAAGAGCUAGAUUUAGAGAGAGAGAGAGAGAGAGAGAG